GGGACCAGGAGGAGGUGGGUGCAGCAGACGGCAAGGAGGGACCGCUCACGCCGGCACGCGUGUGCAGGGAGGACGGGCCGCGCGCCUGUGCGCUGGCUUGCUGGGGAAGGAGAGGAACACGCUGUUCUUGCAGCGAGCGCUGUGGUUUCAUCCUCCGCGGGAGGGGCUGGGCUGCGCCUGGAAGGAGCUGCAGAGCCGCGGGGGCCGCGCGCGGGCUACUCUUACUAUAAAGCACAUCUGCCAGCCGCCUGGCUCUCCCGUCCGCCAGCGAGUACAUCUUGUUUGUGUUUUUCUGCGAGCACACUCCCAGCGGGUUAUGUCAGAGGUGAGGAAUGCGGGCCACCCUGUGUCAUGAGAUCAGACUCACAUUUUUAGGCCGAACGCUCUACCGUAUUUUCUGGGAAGCAGCACGCACUCGGCACGCGGGGCCGCGGAGGGGUGGGAGAUGCCCCUUCGCCGCGCUCCCUUUUUUCCACCCCUUGCUCCAGCGAAUGGGGCUCGUAUGCUGGAACAAGCUCUCCUUCUGUUCCUCGCAAGGAGCGCGGAAGGAAACGCAGUGAAUUAACGCGAAUGAAAAGAGAGCAGUGAGCGGUUCUCAGGCGCGAUGCCAAAUGCCUGGGAAACGCUUAUGGAGAGCCAGCGGAGAGCUGCUUCCCGGCGCUGGGAAGGCAUCAGCACCCUGAAACGGCCCAUGAGGGAAACUCAUCCAAGCACCGGUACCCACAAGAUACCACCAUCCCAGGGGUGGAGAACAUCAGGACAGGCAGUGACCCAUCAAGAGCCAUCAGGGAGGCUGGGAAAGCUGGGCUUGGAGCUCCUUAUGCGAAGUCUCGGUCUGACCGAAAGCACUGCACCCAGUCAGUGACUUCCCCCCAGUUUUACUGCUGGGAACCAACCCUUAUAUCCAGCCUUCCUAAAAUUUCAUGACUCCGCUCUGCAGGAGUCCUUCUGCUCAAGGAAAACUGGUGCAAAAUAACACUGCUGGUCUCUUACAGGCUCGCUGCGUUGCCCUUUUCCAGGUUUUGUUGUUUAAGACCUGAUGCCUGAUUCUCAGCUCCGUUUCCCACUUAGGGCAGAAGUGGAGCAGAGGGGAGCUGGUUUGAUCUCAGCACUGUGGCACAGGAAACCCACUGAGGUGGAAGGGAGGACUCCAACAGUGCUCGAAACCUGCUUGGACUCUGGUAGAGUGAAAAGCUCUCAUUAUCUGUUCUGAUGUGGAGUUUGUUUCCUUUUUUUUUCUUAACUGCAAUAGUAGCAGUUAUUCUGAGAUUGAAAAGAGAAAAGCUUCUAUCGAUCACGUCCAGACUGAACACCACUCUUUUUUUGUUCUGUUUUGCCUUAUGGCGGGGUUGACAUGACUGUGUUUUGUUCUGUGUCAGAAGGAAAACAAACUCUGAAAUACCAAAUUCUUUCACACAAUGGACUUUCCUUUCUCUAAAUAUCCCUGCGAGAUGGGCCUCUUACAGCUCUCUCCUCUUCCCAGAAAAAGAGAACAAAUACUAGGAAAUCUGGAGAGAUGAACUGCACUGAGUUUGGCUGCUGCGGAGGAGCGCGGAGACCAGCCCCACGUUAGUCACCGGCUCCACUUCCGGCUGAUCCCCACCCGGAGGGGAAAGUUAUGCUUCGAUAAGAUUCUCUGUUUUAUCAUAUGAGGUGGAGGAAGUCACCGGAUUGUCUGAGACUGGAUUUCAUUUUUCCUAGAUUUGGAGAGGAAAGAAAAGAAGGCUUGAGACAGCAUUUAGCAACAGACCUGGACACUGAACUAGGGCCUUAUGACUGCCAGACGAUGCCUGAAGAAGAGGUUGAUAGCCCAUCUCUGCUGAUCCAGAAGCCUUCCACUAUAAACGACAUAAAGAAAAGAUCUUGGCUUUCAUUCCACCUUUCAGGUGCCCAGCAUGCUUAGAGGAACAGAAAUUAUCAUUAGCAAUGAUAAAGUACAUUUAUGCUUGAUAUAAGUUCAGCUGAACUACUGUGAACUCAUUCAUUUUUGUUAUGCUCUUUCAAUUUGGGGGAAAUACACUGACAUUGCUUAGCAACCUUUAAUCAUUUUGGCAGAGAAUAGUAAUCCAGGAAGGUUGAAGUUUAUGUCCGUUACUCUGCCCCAGAUGGUUACUUGAUCUCCCAAAUAAUAAGUAUCUGGCCUUGGCCAUUUGCCUCUAAUCAGCAUUAUUUUCCGAAUUGCAAAUGAAUGUCUUGAAGUGCGUAUUUCUUGUCUUUAAUGUUACCAUCUUGGAUCAUUAUUCAUUCUGUAGUGUGACAGUGCAAACUUGCACCAUGAUAUCUCAGGCAGAUCCAAGAAUAUAAUGCACUAAUAUUUCCGUGUCUGACCCAGGCAGACAUUUUCUGGUUUCAUUAGGCAGUGCUCAGCAGUGAGAUGUACUGUCCCUGCCAAAGCAGAUACUGUAGGUUCUUUAUUUCCUGAUUGUCACUUUUUCUAUGACUGCUUCAAACAGAUACAAGCAGCGUAGAAAGAACAGUGCUUCCCCUGUCAGGGAUAGGACUGAAAAGACAGGAAAAGACUAAAAGAAGAAUGCAGUGAAAGGCACCACCAAACCCAGGGGCUUGAUUCUCACCUCUCUUAAAACAGUAUAAAUAAGCUAUGAGAUCUGACUUAGACUCUGUAUCUCUAAAGCUAGUAGAACCAGAAAUACGUAUUUUAGACCAAUUACACUGUAGAAUAUACAUGAGAUAUUCAAAACACCUAAGGGCAUCAUCAGACAGUGCAUUAAUUCAAAUUUUAGGGCCAGAUCUAAAUACUAGGGCCACAAGAACCAGAUCUUUAACCUAGUAUAAUGUGUCUCUGUUGGAUCAUUUUUGUUUAAAAGAUUUUCCACCACAGAAUCUCUGUGCUGCUCUGUUAACCUACCUGCUGGGAUGUCCUGCAGCCAGCCCAGAUGCAUUCCCACCAAGCCCUCUGCCUGUGUUUCUGCUCUCUGUACUCUGAGUCUUUAGAUGUCUCUGUCAUUUCCUAUCAGCUGGCUUGUGUUUUGCCUGUUCUGCUGGAUACUAACCUACUGCCAAUUUUUCCAUGCUUUUCGUAACCACCAUACAUGAUUGGUUGUUCUCUCUGCUCAGAUUCACGGUAAAGUUGCCCUUGCCCAUACUCUUUCCUAUGAAACUCACUGGAUGAUCAUCCUAUGCACUCUGACUCUUAAGCAAUCGGACUCACCUGCACAGAAAAACAAUGAGGUAGAGCUGGAAAGUCCAAGCAGGAGGCCUAGGCCAGCCUCUGUGGAGCAAGAGGACAAGACUUGCAAGGAGAUUUUGUUCCUUGAUAUCUGCAAGUUUCCCAUAGGAAUCAGCAGAGAUACCUGGCUUGAUUGGAUUCAGCUAGCUGUCCCUCCUGGCACCCUCUCCACUUCGUUACUGGUCAAACCUGCUGGCUAGGAAUGAGGUUGCUAUUUCACCUCUACCCAUAUCCUCCAGGGCAGAUCUAGAGACCUGGUGGAGCAUGGGGCCAUGGUUAGUCUACCUGAAGGCCAAGGACAUUAGGGGGUAUCCUGGUACCACUGGGGUGUUUUGCCGCUACUACAGAGAGGCGUCUUGAGCACUGUUCUAGGAUAGAUGUAUCACUGCAGAGUAUGGCCAGGGAUUCCCUGAAACAUCACUGUAUUCAGGGGAUCAGGUAUCCCACAGCUCUGUGAGCAAGCAGUUUGUCAGGCCUCAAAGUUAAUCCUUCCUGGUUCCACAGGGCAGUGAGAGAGCUACAGGGGCUCUUGGUGGUUUUGGUUCUCCUCCAUUGUGACUCAUUCCUCCAGUCCUCCUUGCUCUUACAAGCAUCUUGCAGGGCAAAAAAGGAAAAAAAAAAAGAUCCUGGUACAGAAAAGACAGUCAUCAUAACGCUUCAUCUUCCUUUACGCUAGGAAUCAGAAGACAUCUGGGAGAUGAUGGUGCUGGUGAAUUGUUGCAUAAGCCAGUGCACAAAGUUUUCAGGCAGCAACUGCUGCAUGGUGAUCUAAACAGCUUCAACAGGCUCUUUGCCAGGCAUAUCCUGUCCAGCUUGUGCUGGACUGACUGGCAGUGAGGUGAGUCUGUGGUUGCCAACUUCAAAUGACCAAGACUAGCCUCGUUUCAGUGCUCAGUGGCUGAUUCAUGUUUUGGUCUUCUGCCUCGCCCAGUCUAGGGUUAGCUCAGCACACGUCUCCCUCAGCACCACCUUCCUGCCUGCAAGUCUCUCCCUCCUCUAGCCCAAACCUCUGCCACAAGUCCUCUCUGUUCUCCUGGACCGGACACCAUGCAAGGCAAGAGCCAGCAGUUUGUCAGCUUUGAUUUGUCAUCAUCUAGGAAAAGCUCUGGCCAGUUCUGCCAGUUGUACUUUCUCUUGCGCUGCCAUUCCCGAUAGCCAUUCCCGAUCCAAAGAAUCAACGUUUAUCUCCAUCACCCUGGCUCCUGGGGAAAGGCCACUUCUGGGGUCACUGUUCCUAUACGGCACUGCUGAAGAUGGCAUCCACAAAGGGAAGCGGUGGAAAUGGUGCUGUGCCCUGGCAGCGCAGUGGCUGCCUGGCAGUCGCUUCUUGUUUUUUUUGAGGCUUUUGCUAAGGCAAUGGCUGACCUCAGAAACAUCAGCCUGUCCUCAAAGGAAAUGCCUUCCACCAUGCAAGAGCACUCGUGUCCUGGAGCACCAGGGAAUGCUGCAGUGCUGGAUGUGAUGGCUUGUAGCAUGAGUAGACUGCUGGUCACCAUGAACAUGACAGCAAGUACUCUUGAUUUAGCACAAAAGCCUGGCCAUGGGAUUAUGAGAACACAUCAGACCUCUGCAAGCUUUGUACCACCAUGAAAUGCUCAAGUUUGAUCUCAAUGACUUACCUGACUAUGGCGUGAGUUAAGGAUCGAAACUUGGUUUCCUAUAGGACUCGGACCCCCAAAUGAUGUGUGUGUAUGUGGUCCCUUUCCUCAAACAACUACAGAGUGAAGACAAAUGGGUUUUCUCUCCAACAGAUGGGCUUCAGACAGGUGCUGUUAGAGGCUCAGGGAUGGAAAAUCAAAGAAAAUGCUCUGAUGUGGCCUGUCACCAGUUUAAAGAAAAAAGAGCAAGUGAGAUGUGGCUUUCUUAUUCUACCUUGCUAUUGAGAUGCACUAGCAGUGCCAUAACACAAGUAUUUAUCAACUUGUCCUCUCUACUGUGGUGGGUCAGAAAAGCAUUUUUACCUUGUCUUAAAGACAGGAGACUGGGAUAUGUCUUAAAGACAGGCGACUGGGAUAAGUCCUUUGGGACAACAACGAUCUGUUUACGUAGCACAGGUCCCAGAAGAAGCAGAGCUGUGUUAUAAUGGCAUUCUGUAAAACAACAGAAAACAAAAGCUUUUCUUUCUCCCUAAAUAAAUCAGUUCUGUGUUU